UCCCCGCGCCCGCCGCGCCCCGGCCGUCCCGGCGUUCCCUGGCGGUUGGUCAGGUGCCGCCCGGGGCGCCGCGCCGGACUGCGCGCUGCGGCUGCGCCGUUCGGGGGCGUCGCUGCUGGAGGGGGCCGCGGGGCCCGAGGGAGCCGCGCCGGGAGAGCGGGGCCCCGGACCCCCGCCCCCAGCCCCACCCGGCGCGCCGGCGCGGGUCUUGCCCUUGGUUCACGCCUCAGCGGAGCGAGGGCGGCCGGGCGCCGUGGCGCGGGCCGAAUCCGCGUCGUGCGGUGCUGCGUUCCGGAGAGUGACCGUGUCACCUGGUCAUUUUCUGCUGGCGGCACGACCGUGUCGGACGUCGUCCCCAGCGCCGGUCGUCGGGGUCGCGGCCGGGAGACUGCCCCUGCGCCCCGGGCCGCCGGGCCCCUGCCGGCCCACCUCUGUCCCAGCGCUUGGGGCUGCUGACCGCCGGAGCUUUCGGCCCGUUCCGUAGGGGCGUCCGAGUUGGCGGAUCCGGGUGGUAACGUGCACCCCUCCGUCGUCCACCAACCCCUGAAAGCGGCCUGGUGCUAACCGGUGCCUGGUCCGCAUCAGUCCCUCUCUCGCUCUUCAAGAUUGUGUUUGUUUGAGAGAGAGCGAGAGCAGGGGCUGGUGGGGAGAGGGAGAAGCGGACUCCCGCCGAGCGGGGAGCCCGGCAGGCUCGAUCCCAGGACCCGAGAUCAGGACGGAACCGCAGGCAGAUGAGGAGACAGACUCAAAAGUCAAGAGCAGCCGGCUGAGAAGUUAUGGCACCGCCCCAGAGCCGGUCUGACUGGUUUCUGGGCCGCACUCCACCAUUAUUCCUUAGCUCGCUCUACCCUGCCCUCGCUCUGCCCACACCAGUCCCGUGACUGUGACUUCCGAGAGAGUGGUUUCUCGCACCUUAUCGACGCUUGUGCAGUGUGCCCUGAUGGGAAGUGACCAAGCCCUCCACCCUCAUCCCUGUUCCCUCAUCAUCCACUCCAGAGGAUUCGUGACUCAAAGCCUCUAAGAAAUGUGAACGUGUUUGGGAAGAGCAGAGAGAGCACAAGUGGGCAGAGCGGCAGGCAGAGGGAGAGGGAGAAGCAGGCUUUCCGCUGAGCAGGGAGCCCGAUGUCGGGCUCGAUCCCAGGACCCUGGGACCAGGACCUGAGCUGAAGGCAGGCGCCGACUGAACUACCCAGGCGCCCCUAUUCAGAUGCAUUUAACAGCUGCUCUGGAGGUUGGCUGUGUCUAGGGCCUCAGAUGCUGGGUGUGAGAUUUUGGACCGAUGUCCAGGGGGCACCCCGAAGCGCAGGGGCUGCUUCCUCUCCAAAUUCCAUUACCUCCCAGAGCUCUGGAGAGCACACGCCAAGUUCAUUCAUCAUCUGUUCUGUUGAUCGUAUCUGCUACCCACUGAUACGGAACAAAUGACCCCAACACUUGGCAAGGGACGGCCCAAGAGUGUGAAUACCAUGGGGCAGGGGUCAUCGAGGGUCUCCUUGGAGGCUGCUGACCACAGUGAUGAUUACAGAAGAUGCCUGUUGUUCACCUCUGCUCAGCAAAACCCAACCCUUGGAUCCUGACUUCCCCUGGUCACAUGACCCCAGGCCUUCCUAGUGCUGCAUUCAUCCCUACAAUGAUUGGUCCAGGAACAGAAAGUCAGCCUAUGAGGUCCUUCCUCAGAGCUUCUGUUUGAAGGUGAAGAAGACACUUUGCCUUUGGGGUCAUGGAGUAGAAGGAUGGAUUGCCUAUGCCCCUUUCCCACCAUGUGGAGAGAGCCAACCACCGCUGCAGAGAAGUUGGCCCACAGAUAGAGAAGAAAAAGCUGCAGACACUCUGUGGCCAUGUCCUAGGUGCUGGGGACACAGCAGUGAACAAACGCUUGUCCUCGAUGAGCUUCCAUUCCCACGAGAAACGAGUCAACCAGAGCAGCAAAGCACACGAUCAUUGGCUACACAGACACACACCAGCAGAUCGAGGCGCCAGGACCUCCCUGUGGUCCACUUAGCCGUUUUCCCCAGAGGAUCCGUGUUUCUGGAAUUCAGGGCCAGCCCUGGUGGGAGGAGGCGUCAGAGCUGAUCAGGUUAAGUCGGAGAUUAUCUGGAGAGGGGAGGGUACUUUGGCUUUCUACUGGCCUCAAAUCGCAGCAUGCGAUAUGGGUUUGGCCACAUCUCUGUCCGUGCUGUUUUAUGUUUAUUUUGUUUGACAGUUUAUUUGUGACUUGGGCCCUAGGCAAUCCUACAGCCGGUUACAGUUUCAUAAACAGAAUAAACAAAAUGAAACAGAGCCCAUAGACUAUGUUUACAAUCCUUCUCUGGGCAGAAGGGAGGGACUGAAGCACUUGUCUGGGAGGUCUGGGGUACGCAGGCACAAGAAGCCGGCCUCGCUGGACGCUGUGGGUGCUGUGCGCAGGGUCACUGGAAGGUGACUCGCAAUAUUCAACGCUGGAACCCAGGAGCAGCCGGGUAGCGUUCCUUUAUUUCUCUCAGAUGACAUCUAUCCUUUUAUCUUCUGAAUACUUUUUAAAGUUGCAAAGCUGAGCUUCAGUGACACAGUUUACUAAUUCCUAUAAUCCCGAGCAUCACUGCU